rnacentral:rRNA from 1 species
UACGUAGGGAGCGAGCGUUAUCCGGAUUUAUUGGGUGUAAAGGGUGCGUAGACGGGAAAAUAAGUUAGUUGUGAAAUCCCUCGGCUCAACUGAGGAACUGCAACUAAAAACUAUUUUUCUUGAGUGCAGGAGAGGAAAGUGGAAUUCCUAGUGUAGCGGUGAAAUGCGUAGAUAUUAGGAGGAACACCAGUGGCGAAGGCGACUUUCUGGACUGUAACUGACGUUGAGGCACGAAAGUGUGGGGAGCAAACAGG